AUUGAACGCUGGCGGCAUGCCUUACACAUGCAAGUCGAACGGUAACAGGUCUUCGGAUGCUGACGAGUGGCGAACGGGUGAGUAAUACAUCGGGACGUGCCUAGUAGUGGGGGAUAAUUACGCGAAAGAGUGGCCAAUACCGCAUGAGAUCUAAGGAUGAAAGCAGGGGAGCGAAGGACCUUGUGCUACUAGAGCGGCCGAUGGCAGAAUAGGUCGUUGGUGGGAUAAAAGCUUACCAAGCCGACGAUCUGUAGCUGGUCUGCGAGGACGAUCAGCCACACUGGGACUGAGACACGGCCCAGACUCCUACGGGAGGCAGCAGUGGGGGAUUUUGGACAAUGGGCGCAAGCCUGAUCCAGCAAUGCCGCGUGCAGGAUGAAGGCCUUCGGGUUGUAAACUGCUUUUGUACGGAACGAAAAGCCCCGGGUUAAUACCCUGGGGUCAUGACGGUACCGUAAGAAUAAGCACCGGCUAACUACGUGCCAGCCGCCGCAGUAA
rnacentral:rRNA from 1 species